ensembl:lncRNA
GGGGCGGUGACAGAUGGAGAAUCAGUGUGUCAGAGAGGGAGAGAGAGGGAGGGAGAGAGGACGCACCGAGAGACAGCGAGAGCAAAGUGAGAGCGAGAGAAAGGGGUCGAGAGUGAGGGGGCCGGGAAGGAGACGGAGCGAGUGGUCCACACUUAAUACAUCCGCCGUCUUUGUGUCUCCGCGCUGGACCAGAGACGCCGGGUCUUUGUGUCUGUCGGAUGCUGAAGGUGUUGAUGGGGAUGGAGAGAGAACACAGCGGCUCUGCACUGCUCUACACCUGGACGCAAGAGCUGCACUGACGGAGGUCUGCGAAGAGGCCACAGGGUGGACAGGCGGACCACAAGGAGCCACAUCAGUGAACGUCCUCGGCUGCCAGCAGAACCAUCUCGCCAGUCGGGAGAGGUGAGGGACGAGGCCGGCCAAUCGGAGGGGGAGAGAUGUUGGGGCAGGGGGGCCACGGGGUCCUGGCUCUCAUGUCAUUAGUUCUGACACUGUGGCACCAAGCGGCACCCAUAGAAGUCCCACAAGACCGUAAGUCCCUAAGCAGUUCAUAGGACCAUGAAGCAUCCAACUAUGAGCCUUCACAAAGGCACUUUGUCUGCAAUGACCUACUGCAGCACUUUCAACCAAAAACAAUGACAGUACUGAUCAUUCCACUGCGUGUCGGAUCCUGCAAAGCCUUAUUAGCUCACAUUUAGAAACCUUUCAAAUCGCAAACUGCUGACAAAAUGUAGAACAGACUGAUGGAGCUAAAGAGUUAUUUGCCUCGUCAAAGUUGGUGCUUCGAGCCCUUUAGUGAAAGGCUGAACAUCUUAAAACGUAUUAAGUAGAUGAGGGAGACGAGGGAGACAAGGGAGACGAGGUAGAUGAGGUAGAUGAGGGAGACGAGGGAGACAAGAGAGACAAUGGAGACGAGGUAGAUGAGGGAGACGAGGUAGAUGAGGUAGACGAGGGAGAUGAGGGAGACGAGGAAGAGAGAGAUGGGGGAGAUGAAGGAGACGAGGAAUAGAGAGUUGGGGGAGAUGAGGGAGACAAGGGGGACCGGGGAGAUGAUGAAGAGGGAGAUGAGGGAGACGAGGAAGAGAGAGAUUGGGAGAUGAAGGAGACGAGGAAGCGAGAGAUAGGGGAGAUGAAGGAGACGAGGAAGAGAGAGUUGGGGGAGAUGAGGGGGACGAGGAAGAGAGAGAUGGGGGAGAUGAGGGAGACGAGGAAGAGAGAGUUGGGGGAGAUGAGGGAGACGAGGAAGAGAGAGUUGGGGGAGAUGAGGGGGACGAGGAAGAGAGAGAUGGGGGAGAUGAGGCAGAGAUGCCUCCGAGCUGGAUUAAUCGGGGGAACAACGCCUCCUCCCUUGCAGCCCCUCCCCCUCUUUUCCUUACGUCUCCUUAUCGGCGACCUUUAUCGAUGAGAGGCUUCCACACGUCAAUACACGUUAACACACUCACGCUCACUUAAACGUGAUAAUAUCUAAAGGGAUCAUUUUCGCGAUUUAAGUUCAAUAAAAGCCUCUACGGACUUCUACUGCAAGUAGACAGAUCCCAUCCAUCACUAUCAACUGGUGUCAAACCAUAGUGACCAGCAGCAUGGAUGUGAGCAUGCAUUUCCAUCAGGCUCCUCUGAUGGGGGGCGCUUCAUCUGUGUGUGUGUGUGUGUGUGUGUGUGUCAGCGGAGGAAUUCUAUUGUAACCUUUCCAGGAAACGAUUCCCGUGGUUGAAAACGUGAGCUACUUUAAAGGAAUACUCGGCUGCUUUUAUCAAAACGUCUGCGUCUGCAAAUCUUUUUGAAUCAGUAAAAACUACGUGCAGCGAACAAGACUUGUGAACACAGCAGCUUCAAACGCAGUUGUGCUUCCAUUGUGUUACCAACCAGUUCUUUGCAAGGAAAAUACACAGUUAUGACAAUGCAAUCUAACCAUCUAAUUGAUAACUUGUGUGUCUUUCUAACUUCCUGCCGCUCUCCCUUCGCUUGCACGGGGACGCCUGACAGGUGAGUCCCUGUUUCUGUGUCUCUGAGUUGUCUCUCUAAUGAUUGUAUAGCAUUAACUCUACACAUCAUAACCCUGGUUCUCAACUGGUCCGGCUUCUGAUGAAUGUGUUGUAACAUAAUAAUAUACAUGUAAAUAUGUCUCUAAUAUGAUUAACAAUCACAUCGCUAUUCAUCCCUGCUUCUCCCCGUCUCUCUUUGGCUUUCAAUUGGACUAACAGCAAAGAUCCUGCAAGACCGUAAGUAUCUAUUUUUAACAUUGUAGCACUUUAACGACACUCGUAGAAGAGAAACGGAGUCGACUGGACAACAGUUUUCGGUCAUUUGAUUAAUACAAAAAUUAUUCAUAAUUGAAUUGUUGUGUUACUUUAAUUCAAUUACAUUCAUUUUAUUUUGUUCAGCCCAAUAUCACAAAUGGGCCUCACAUUACCACAGAAAAAACUCCACGAAAAGAUUAAAAACCCUUCGAUGAAAU